rnacentral:rRNA from 1 species
GCAAGUCGAGCGAAUGACAGGGAGCUUGCUCCCUUGAUUUAGCGGCGGACGGGUGAGUAACACGUGGGCAACCUGCCCUGUAGACUGGGAUAACUUCGGGAAACCGGAGCUAAUACCGGAUAAUCCAUUUCCCCUCAUGGGGAAAUGCUGAAAGGCGCUUUCGCGUCACUACAGGAUGGGCCCGCGGUGCAUUAGCUAGUUGGUGGGGUAACGGCCUACCAAGGCGACGAUGCAUAGCCGACCUGAGAGGGUGAUCGGCCACAUUGGGACUGAGACACGGCCCAAACUCCUACGGGAGGCAGCAGUAGGGAAUCUUCCACAAUGGACGAAAGUCUGAUGGAGCAACGCCGCGUGAGUGAUGAAGGUUUUCGGAUCGUAAAACUCUGUUGUAAGGGAAGAACAAGUACGUUAGGAAAUGAACGUACCUUGACGGUACCUUAUUAGAAAGCCACGGCUAACUACGUGCCAGCAGCCGCGGUAAUACGUAGGUGGCAAGCGUUGUCCGGAUUUAUUGGGCGUAAAGCGCGCGCAGGCGGUUUCUUAAGUCUGAUGUGAAAGCCCACGGCUUAACCGUGGAGGGUCAUUGGAAACUGGGAGACUUGAGUGCAGAAGAGGAAAGUGGAAUUCCAAGUGUAGCGGUGAAAUGCGUAGAGAUUUGGAGGAACACCAGUGGCGAAGGCGACUUUCUGGUCUGUAACUGACGCUGAGGCGCGAAAGCAUGGGGAGCAAACAGGAUUAGAUACCCUGGUAGUCCAUGCCGUAAACGAU